CAACCCUCAGGGUCCCUCCGCCUCGCGCGGUCGGAGCCUGGUGUUGGGGAUCGGCCCGCCCCCGCGCGGCGCCGUCCCCCAAAUACAGUGGCGGUCCCGCCGCAGCCUCCCCUGCGCAGUAGUUAUCAACUCGCACUGGAGCGCGGCGCGGCCACGCCGUAAAACCCCCGACUUUCUGAA
rnacentral:misc_RNA from 1 species